GGAGGAAGCUGCACUAUUUAAAAGCAGAAUGUGCAAAAAGCUGAUCUGCCUGGAGAUGAGGAGCAGAUAGGAACCGAGAUACCAGGAGGCAGAGAGAGAGUGAUGGAAGAAGGAAAUGGGAGAACUACAGUGAUAAAGACAGUAAAUGGCACACGAAAAAGGAGGUGAAGAAAUUCUGAGCCAGCAAGAAUAAAAAAAGAAGAAUAGAUGAUGAAAUGUUGGCAACUGUGAGGAAGACUGAAGGAUACACUCAAACUAGAAUUUAUGCACAGCUUCCCACAGCAACCAUUUCGUGUGCACCUACGCCUUCCCUAAGAGAAGUCCCUCAGCUGCAGGGCAGACCAGACAUUAGUUUGUGUUCACUCUCAGUUCGUUUAUCACCAUGGAACAAUGGCAGCAGUAGCAGACAAGGGGGAAAAAGAUGUUCACAGCAGAGGUGAGAAGCCUUGGCGGCAGUAACAGAAAGAAGUCAAAAUAAGUAAGAACAACUAUACUGUCGCAGUGUUUGAGCAUCAGAAACUAAUUUAAGACCUUUGAACGCAAUUCCAGAGGUGCUACCACAGGACUGCUCAGAUGCAGGGAAGAAACAAAGGAGUUAACUGAAGAGCAAAAUGCCUGUGAGCAACAAGACCUUUUCUGUUUCAAAGGAAAAUUCCAUGCUUUCCCUUCUGGUUGGGCGGCCGUAGCGGAUAUGCUUUUGGAGUACAGCAUGUACAGUGCAUAAGCAACUAUUGGCAUUCAUGGUUGGCUUCCAAAUCAGCAGUGCUUAAAAAUACAAAGUGCAAACUCGGUUCUUCUAUCCUGGCUUUUGUUGUUGCUGUUUUUGUUGCUC
rnacentral:lncRNA from 1 species